UUGUAUAAACGUGUCUUUUGCUCCUUGCAAACCUCCGUUCACACACUAUUUGUGAGAGUCCUGCAAAUUUAUUUUUUUAACCUUUUUCACUACAAAUUCAAAAUUCAAUCUUUGCCUCUCAAUUUGUUCUCUCAGAUUUUUCAGUAUUUUUGUUUUAUACAUCCAAAAUCAUGGAUGAAGAAGAAGCACCUUCUAAGAGAACCACUAGAGAUAUACAACCGAAUCAAUAAUUUUGUAUGUUUUUCAAUCUUUUUCUUUGCGUUUAACUCAGGAUUUCGAAGAAAUUUCAGGAUCCUUUGUUAAAUCUCGAAUUAAUCAACAAGAAGGUAUGUUAAAGUUUGGUAAUACCCAUUAAGAGCAAGAAGUCAUGCAUGUUGCAAAAUCUAAAGGGAAGAACAAAAAAGUGGAUAAACAUAAAGAAGACAAAUUUCUUGAUGUUUUUACUUCAAAGAAGAAGCGAAAAGUAAAAGAGAUUGCAUCUACAAGCAAUAAACAAGACAAAUCAGUUGAAGUUUUGAUUUCAAAGAAGAAGCAUUAAGUAAAAGAUAUUGCAUCUAUAAGUAAUAAAGAAGAUGCCCAAUCUGAUUUAAUUGAACAACUACAUUUUGAAGAAUUAAGGUGAACUGAAUAUGUUUGAAGUUCAGAUCUAAAGUUGUAUGCAUAUCUUUAACUGUUUGAAUAUAUUUAUAUCUUUAUAUACAAAAAUGAAAUUUUAUAUUUCAGUUGUUGUUGUCAUUGUUAUUUGAUAUUUGUGUUAUACUUAUUUUCAAAUUGUAUAAUUUUUUUUGUUUCACAGUUGUAUCCAUAUUUGUAUAACUUUGUAUUUGUAUAUAGAUAUUCACUUUGUAUAA